rnacentral:rRNA from 1 species
UACGUAGGGGGCUAGCGUUGUCCGGAAUCAUUGGGCGUAAAGAGCGUGUAGGCGGUCCGGUAAGUCCGCUGUGAAAGUCGGGGGCUCAACCCUCGAAUGCCGGUGGAUACUGUCGGGCUAGAGUGCGGAAGAGGCGAGUGGAAUUCCUGGUGUAGCGGUGAAAUGCGCAGAUAUCGGGAGGAACACCAGUAGCGAAGGCGGCUCGCUGGGCCACACCUGACGCUGAGACGCGAAAGCGUGGGGAGCGAACAGG